GAAUAGGGAGUGCAGCUCUGGAGAAUAAUACAGGAUGUAACUCAGGAUAAGUAAUACAUGUACACAGUGACUGCACUUUUUAUGUAAUCAUAUCUGUGGAAUUAGGCUUUAAACCUGGAGAGGGGGCAACAUAUUCCAGCUUUUAUGAACACACAGUACUGCACAGAGAACAUCUCCGGCAUACUGUGAGAGGAGUGCACAGCUGCCUGGAUUAUAUAUAUCAUAUAUGUGGUUUUCAGGUCCCAUUAUUGACAUAAGUACUCCUCCACGUCAAACCUGCUAAACUAGCACAAACAAGAUUGCACGCCCUCUCCUUAGGGCAACAGUGAUAAUUGCACCCACCAUUCUAGGUCUCGCCCUAAAGAUCUGAAAAAGCACAACAUAUG